GGGUUGUGAGGUUAAGCGACUAAGCGUACACGGUGGAUGCCCUGGCAGUCAGAGGCGAUGAAGGGCGUGCUAAUCUGCGAUAAGCGCCGGUAAGGUGAUAUGAAC
rnacentral:rRNA from 4 species